GAUACCAAUCAGGGGAGACAGGAACUGGAGGAGGGGCUGAUUGGCAGCAGGUGAGACUGCAGGUGUGACUUCAGGCUUCACUCUCCUCAGAUUCUUUGUGUGCUCUCCAUGUGGCUGUGACUGUUUGAUUCCCUGUGGCUCCGGAAAAAAGAAUGAAAAGUUGACUCUUAUACAAAGCAGGAGGCGAUUUUCCUCCCUGCCACUACUGGGCACUGUGCCAGCUUCAUUCAUCGUGAUCACUGGGCGGCGCCACGCGCACCUUUAUACCUAGGCGUGUGGUCGCGCCCGUUCUUUCUUCUGCUCGCUCCCGUGGUGGCUGUGUCUCAGUGUGGCAACAUUUUGUUUGGCGUGACACUGGCAGCCGUUUUUGUUCACCGGAUGGUGCUUUAUUUAACGUGAAGGCUCCUUGGUGUGGCGUGCACCCUGUGUUUGGUUCGCCAUCAAAGCACACCAUCUCCUCUCUCAGUGUGGCUGACUGUUGGGGGGCCAGGGAGGACGGGGUGACGUGCUGGAGCCCCGCUGUGUGUUGCUAUUUGCCCGCUCUGGCUGUACACUCGAGCUUUGUCCUGGGGCUCAUAUCCUCUGGUUGCCUAGAGUUUGCUGCGCCUGUGUUGUUCUGCAAUUGUUUGGCCUGCCAGUGACCAUCACUCCCUGGGCCACGCUGCUGCUCUGGCUCUCUGGCUCUCUGGUUCUCUGGCUCUCUCGUUCUGGCUUUCUUUCCUUUUGAUUUAAUUAUUAUUUUGAUUUAGUUGCUUUGGAAUUGGUUUAUUUUACAAUUUCAUUUUUGACUUGUUUGGGCUCUUUCAGCUCCUUUUAUUUUUGGUUCUUUACUUUUAGUUUGGUUGUUAUUUUGGAUUUUGUAAUUUUGUUUUGUUUGUUUUGUUCUGUUUUGGCCGUUCGGUGGCAAGCGGGCUAAGUUUGCUGUCCGGAGCGGCUGACCGCUGCCCGGCCCGCUCUGUCUUGGAGGUCUAACUGUUUUACAGGCUGUUCUAGGACCGAUAUUGGUUGCCCCUGCCUAGUGACCGUGAGCCAAAUAUUUUAAGUCUGUAUUUCACCUGUUUUCUUUGUUAUCUAUAAUUUAGUUUAGUAGACUUACUUUUGUACUUUGGUUUCAUUUGUUGUAUUGAAGUUAUGUUGUCCCGUGCUUAUUUUCCGUUAGUUUAUUGAAUUAGUUGAUUAUGUGUAUUUAAAUUAUGUAAAUCUUUAUUUAGUUUACCCAAGUUUUGUUAAGUUCUUGGGCAUGUUUUAUUAACUUUGUUCUCUUUUGUUGUCAGGUGCUGUGGGCUGACGGCGGCAGUUUAACCCCUGGUGGUGGUGCGUUCGUCACGAUUCCCCCCCUUAUUUUUUUGGUUUUGGAGUGCAUGUGAGUGUGUGCAGUGUCACUGGGUGAUUCAUUUGAGGACCCCUUCCCCGAUUUUGGUUGUCCCUGCCGCUUGGUAAGCCCCAGCCCUGUCCUUAUCCCCAUUCCUGCCCAAGUACUCAUUUUAUUAUUGAGCUGGUGUGUGACUUUAAGUACUUUCUUUUGAAUGCUUUUGUUAAUAAAAUUGAUUUGUUUUAAUUGAAAA